GAUGAACGCUGGCGGCGUGCCUAAUACAUGCAAGUCGAACGAGUUCUCGUUGAUGAUCGGUGCUUGCACCGAGAUUCAACAUGGAACGAGUGGCGGACGGGUGAGUAACACGUGGGUAACCUGCCCUUAAGUGGGGGAUAACAUUUGGAAACAGAUGCUAAUACCGCAUAGAUCCAAGAACCGCAUGGUUCUUGGCUGAAAGAUGGCGUAAGCUAUCGCUUUUGGAUGAACCCGCGGCGUAUUAGCUAGUUGGUGAGGUAAUGGCUCACCAAGGCGAUGAUACGUAGCCGAACUGAGAGGUUGAUCGGCCACAUUGGGACUGAGACACGGCCCAAACUCCUACGGGAGGCAGCAGUAGGGAAUCUUCCACAAUGGACGCAAGUCUGAUGGAGCAACGCCGCGUGAGUGAAGAAGGCUUUCGGGUCGUAAAACUCUGUUGUUGGAGAAGAAGGUCGGCAGAGUAAC
rnacentral:rRNA from 2 species